UACGUAGGGUCCGAGCGUUGUCCGGAAUUACUGGGCGUAAAGAGCUCGUAGGUGGUUUGUCGCGUUGUUCGUGAAAACUCACAGCUCAACUGUGGGCGUGCGGGCGGUACGGGCAGACUGGAGUACUGCAGGGGAGACUGGAAUUCCUGGUGUAGCGGUGGAAUGCGCAGAUAUCAGGAGGAACACCGGUGGCGAAGGCGGGUCUCUGGGCAGUAACUGACGCUGAGGAGCGAAAGCGUGGGGAGCGAACAGG
rnacentral:rRNA from 1 species